UGAUGUUAUUCCGUUGUGCAGUCUUUCCA
rnacentral:piRNA from 1 species